rnacentral:lncRNA from 1 species
GAGAAUUAUUUUAACAUCAAGAAAAAAUAAUUAAGAUGAUAACUAUUAAAGAAAAAAUUAAGACUUUAUAGGAAUCAGUCUAAUCUUAUAGUUUCAAUAUUAAAUUGAUUGUACUUUUGAAGUGUUGUAAAAAGAUAUUAGAAUCAAAGCUAAAAAUAGGAAGCUCUGGAUUUUUAAUUAUUCCUCAAAGGGUAAUUAGGUUGCCAUAAAAUCUCAAUCUCACCUGUUAGCAAUGAAAUAAUAUCAAUGCCUGAUAAAUAUAUUUUUUAAAAACAUGUUUAUCAAAGUGAUAAAAAAUAGAUACUAUAAAGAAGAAAAAUAAACUACUGAAAUAGACAAUUGUAUUUGAAAUAAUCAUUUCUAAUUACAGAAAAGCCUCAUUGAUAUACUCUCUCCUUGGAGAAGCCAAUCUGAAUUAACAAAAAGAAAAUAAACUAUAGACUCUAAUAAGAAAUGCAAAUUUAUUACUUUCAAAUUCACACUGUAAAUUUAGUUGCUAAUAAAAGCACUUCUAAGUAACAGACUUUCAUUGCGUGCUUUAAUAAAUAGGUGAGAAUCAUUUGAAAUUAGUUAGACCCAUUUGUAUCACACAAUGUGUUAAAAUCUUUAAGAACAGCUUGGUUAAAAGCCUCAAGCAAUCUUGUUUACACUAUUAGCAAAUCUUGGCUUCAUACAAAAGUAAAUUUCAGCCUAGCCUAGUUCAAAUUAUCAUAAAUUCUGAAUUAUAUUCAGCAUUUUAAAGCUGGAAGGGACCUCAGAGAUCUUCCAGUGAAGUCUAUAAUAAUAAGAUUUUCCUGGCUGUUACAUCUAAAAUAGAUGCCAUAUGUAUGAACAAAUUCUAAACAUCGUUGACUCUUUUCAGAAAUGCCACUGACACUCUAUUGUUGCUUCAAUAUGGUAUGUCUUUUCAAACACAUCAAUAAUUUCACAUGAUAUUUAGUAAUAUUUUGUUGGGGUAAUUUAAAAUCAUUAGCAGUGUACUGCAUUGUUUCUGUUAUUUGCCUUAGCUUUUGUUUUCUCGUCCCACUCUGUUCAAGAAAAUUCAGGAAUAAUAGUCUCCACCCUAAUAUUUUGAAUAGACAUGAUAUGUAAACAAUACAGCCAAUAAUUUCAAGUUGUAGUAAGUUAAAACAGAACUAUUACACAGAUCUGAAAUCACUAGUGGUGGGAGCCACCAUGUGGCUUGCUACACACAUAAGAGAAAGCUUACAAUUUCACUCAUGUAAUCAGUUCUGAUUAGGUGUGUUUUAUAUCAUGAGGAAAUCAGAGAAACCUGUACAUGUAACACUGCUAAAUGAUACACUGCAAAUUCCAACACACUAGUUCUCUUCUUACUCAGCUUCCUAACGGUAUAUUCUAGUUCGUAGAGAUGUUUCUGCAACCCAUGAGAAAAUUAUCAAAGUAUAUCAUCACUUCUAGGAGGAAAAGGUGAGUUUUUUUGUCCUUCAGGCACCAUCUGCCCAGUCACCCUGCUCCCUGAUAUAGCCUACUUCAUGUAUCCAUGCAAUAAAUAUGUACUGAGCAGCAACCAGGUGGCCGGCAUAUGUUAUGCUGCCAAGAGGAAUGCAAAAGAAAUGUUAGACACAGUCUCUGACCUCAAAGAGCUUCAUGUCUGAUUACAGAGAAAAACAAUUUUGUGAAGCAGUUAAAUUACAAUGCAUAACAGUGUGCAUUAAUUGCCAGAGGAGUGGCAUGAUUAAUGUUACAAGAAAAGAGAGAUCAGUAUGAACUCAAUGUCAAGAAGAUUCCCUGAAGAAGAUAAAUCUAGAUCUAGAUGUACUAAAAUAAGUAGGAUUUUCUGGACUGAGGAAAUUAUGAUGGGCCAUUCAAGUGUAAGAAAUACCUGGAGUUCCCUGGUGGCUCAGCAGGUUAAAUAUCCAGCUUUGUUACUGAUAUGGCUCUGGUCAAUGCUGUGGUGCAGGUUAGAUCCUCAGCCCAGGAAAUUCCACAUGCCACAAACAAGGCCAAAAAUAAUAAUAAUAACAGAAAAAGAAAAAAAUCUAAAUGUACAAAAAGCAAGACAAUAACUCUUAAAAUGCAAAAUGAAUACUCUGCUAUUAAAAUUAAUUAAAAUGAAUAAAAUUAUAGAUUCACUUUCUCAGUCAUAUUAAAUAUAUUCCAAGUGCUAUUGUGGCUAGUGGCUGGAAUAUUGGAUGGUGUAGAUGUAGAACACUUCUGUCAUUCUAGCAAGUUCUGUAGGACAGCUCUGUGUAGUACUUCAGUUCAUAACAAGAUCAACCUGAAAGAAGUGGAGGACUCAGGGUGAAGAAGGAACUCAGCUCAAGUCUCACAAAAUCUACUUGAGGGUCAAUGACCAAAGGCUGAAAAUAAUUCCUGCACGGAAAUUCUACUGUAAGUCCAGGGCAGUUCAUGAAGCCCAUAUGUCAUGCAGAAAUUUACCUUCCCAGAAGGAUAGACCAAUUCAUACAUAUGAGGGCCAUAGGGUAUAAGGAAGCAGGAAAGGGAGGAAAUGAACUUGUUUAUGAACUAAUUUGGAGAUGCCAUCUACACAAUGUGAAGUGGUAUAGAAAUUUAGCAACGUUCAAGGGCAAGAAAAUGGAAACUAGAGAAAGGAAGCAGUUUGUUAGAUGGACAAAAAUUCUACCUUGCAAAUAACAGUCAAUCUGAGACACAAGAUAAUUUCUUAGAUAGCUACAAGUUUAGAGUGAUUUGUUUUGUAAGAAGAGUAAAAGGAAAACAAAACUAAAUGAAAGGAAAAGUUACUAAUUGGAGCAAAGGGGGAUGUUGGAGGACUCUGCAUAUUCAGUUAUUCGAGACACCCCAUCAUGUUGGAAAGGAAGAAAAUUUGGGCAGAAUUAUUAAGUAAGAAACAUCUCUUUUAUCUCUGAUGACCAGGGAUUACCAAGCACUCCUUAACUCCCAUCAUUUUACAACAAUGCAGUCCUUUUGUUUUUCUAAUCAUAUUUGGAGACUUAUGCAGAGUAUCAUCUAGGACUCAUAUAGGAACUUUGUUGUCUAUUGAGUUCCAGUCAUGAUGCUAUCUGGUAAUAUCCAAGAGAACAAAGACCAUGGAAACACCCUCUCUUGUGACUGAAAGUUUAUGUUAUGUUUUUACUUUUUCUUUUUUCUUUUUUUUUUUUUUUGGUUUUCAGAGCUGCAGGGGCAGCAUAUGGAAGUUUCCAGACCAGGGAUUGCAUCCGAACUACAGCUGCCAGCCUACACCACUGUAAUGCAGGAUUCAAACCAUGUCUGUGUGACCUUCACCACAGCUCACAGUGAUGCCAGAUCCUUUAAACCACUGAGCAAGGCCAGGGAUCAAAUUGAUGUCCUCAUGGAUACUAGUUGGUUUCGUUACCACUGAGCCAUGAUGGGAACUCCUGACUGAAAUUUUAAUAGGCAACUACAAGGGUCCAGUUGCUUGAAUUAAAGUCUUAAUAACCCACAAAUCCAUGCUUAUGUAUUCAUCCAAUCUCUGGAAUAUUGAUUGAUGAGGAAUUGGGGUUACAUUUAGUUUUUUGCAUAUUUCUAGUGCUACUUAAAAAUAAUUUCAAGGAUAUAACAAUUUUUACAUCUGAAAGGGUAUUAAGAAGUAAUCCAAAUCAAGCCAUUUUCUUUAAUACAUAAAAAGCUGAGGCUUAUAAUAUUUAAAUGACAUCCUAAAAGGCACAGAGCUUAAUGGCAGCUCUUUGUAUCACAUUUCCUAGCCCCAAAUUUUACUACCUUCUAAUAUUAAUUAUAUUAGUUUUAGUAGCCAAUGUAAUAGAAACAGCUUGAAUCUCACUUCUAAUUUCAACUAUUCAAAUAAUAUGUUUCUAAGUAAAUAAUUUCUUUAGCCACAAAAUGUAUAUGUGCUUCAAAAUAUUUUUAAGCUCUUUUAUAAAUAUAUACCCUUCUUUAUUACUGUUUUCAUCCUUUACUUAGGCAGUAUUAGAUAAUGAAUACACAGAUGUAAAUGAUUUGCCAGCACAAACAGAAAUACAGACAGCCUUUCUUUGGCCAGUAGAACAGUGGCAAGCAAGGCAAGCAGAGAUAUGAGGAAGCCUAAGUUAAGAGGGUUGAUUUAUGGAGAAAUAUUGGAAGAUAAGGGGUCAUCUUGGAUAUUCCCACCCCAGCAAAUGCCUAGAUAAAAACAGUCAUAUGAAUAACUUCAUAUAUGUCAAGCAUUUUAACACAAGCACAUACACACCAAGUUAAUGGCAUUAAUGAAUUGAAGUGAUAGAUGUGUUAAUUAUCUUGACCUUAGUAACCAUUCUACAACGUAUGUCAAAUCAUCACAGCGUAUACUUUAAAUAUAUAUAAUUAUAUUUGACAAUUAUUUGUCAUAAAGUUCAAAAAAGGAAAGAAAACCACCCAGCUGAGCACAGUCAAGGCAAAGCUUCUUCCUAGUUUCUACCCUGUCUCAUAAUAUGGUAAUAAUGUAGUCAUGAUAGAAAUUAAAAGUAUCAAAAUGUAUUUGUUUUCCUUAAAGUGCAGUUCUGGAGAUAACCAGAAUGCCAAUUCUGUAUUUUUUUUAAGACUGUGUUCCUUAGCUCUUACCAGAAGAGACAACUCUGGUAAUUCCUACUGGAGGAGAGAUAAAGGUAGGGUAUCUCUUUGAACUAACUGGUACUUUCAGACAUUAUUGGAUUUUUUUUUAACCUUUAUGAAAUUUUAAACAUUAUGGGAAUUCAAAAGGGACUUAGAUUUUAAUAAAACAAAGUUUUUAAAGCUUAACAUUGAGCUUUAUAUUCCAGUGAAGAGAGGUAUGUUGAAUAAUCUUUAGAAGUGAAAGUUUCAACAUCAUAUACUUUUUGCUUCAGAGCACAUUUUGUUACAUCUGGGUGAUCACCAGCUUCAUUACUGUUAGUCAUCUGUGUGGCUCCAUUUAAGUCUCUUGAAUUGUUCAGGUAUAGUUCUAUUCAUCAUUUUUUCUUUAUGGGGCUUAUUUGGUAUUAUUUGUCCCAUGUUUAUAUGUAAUCCUAAAUCUAGAACAAGAGAAGAAAAGAUGGUAUUUCAUUAUAAUUUUGCCCUUAUGAAAGUCUAAAAAAAUAUCUGACCUGAGUUUAUGGUGCCAUUUUUCAGAAUUUAAUUCAACUUCUGAAGACAGUGAGACAAUGCAACAUAUGUUAACAGGAGAGCCAACAAAAAGAGUUAUGUGGUCAAGCAAAUUAGGGAAAUGUACUCUUAAGAAAUUUAUCAUGAAUUUUAAUAUAUUAAAACUCUGAGGAAGAAACCAGAUUUUGUUCUUCAAAUUUAAUGGCUACAAAAAUAUUUUCUUGCAGAAUAUCUCAUAAUUGUUCAAGAAACAGUUUGCUUUCAGGGAUCUUGAAAUUGUAAGAGGCAGAGUUGUCUUUACUAUCAGGGUUUUUUGGUAAAUACUCCUUAGUAUUUGAGGGAGUCUUCUGAUUAGUUCAUUACCUCUCUAGCACCAGCUCCAGCAGGAUCUCCCUCCCUCUUAAGUGGAUCAUUGGUUGACCGUAGCAAUUCCAAACCUGGCUGAUCAUCAGAAUUGUAAAACCUCUUGAAAAAUAAAACAAAACAAACUAAGAAGCAAAAAACAAGUCUGGGACAAUCCCUUCCCCAGGAUCCUGAGUCAGCAAGAGUGGUAUGAAAAUAGAAAAACUGUUUUACAUAUAUCUGUGAAUGAAACCAUGAUGGAAACAACUGGUCUACCUCCAACCUUCACUGACUAAAAAAGAAACAUGUUAGGGAUUUUAAAGCUUUUCAUAAGAAAAUAUAAAAAGAAGAGGUGACAACUAAAUGCAGUGCAUGAUCCUGGGUUGUUCCCUUGAUGGGGACAGGAGGGAGCUGGGCUAUGAAGGACCUUAAUGAGACAAUUGAUGAAUUUUGGACCUUGGAUUAUAUAAUAGCAUUUUAUAAUAGUAUAUAAUAUAGGGACUACAGAUUAUAUCUGGUAUUUUAUCAUGUUAAAUUUUAUGAUUUUGAUAAUUGAAUUUUAAUCACAUAAGUGAAUGUGUCAGGGAGGUUCCUCCAGAAACACACAUUGAAGUGUUUAAGGGUGAAGGGGCAUGAUGUCUCCAAUAUAUUUUCAAAUAUUUGAAGGAAAAUAUAGAUGUAUAGAUAUAUAGAUAUAUAUAUAGAGAGAAGAGAAUGAUAAAAUAAAUGGGGAAACAUACAAAUAAUUGGUGAAUUUAGGUAAAUGGUGUAUAGGAGUUUCUUGUACUACUCUAUCAACUUUUCAUAACUGAAAUUAUGUCAAAAAAAUUUGUUAUAUACGUCAAUAUAAUCAAUUUAAUAUAAUUUAAUAUAAUAAAGUUAUACAUAAUGUAAUUUAAUAAAGUUAUAUGUAUAAUUUUAUAAAGUUUUUAAAGUAUAGUUAUCCUAUAACUAUAUACUUGAGGGCUGAACAAUAUAGGUUAAACCGAUUAUAAAUAUUGAGUGACAUAGAGAUUAUUUCUUUUGGGAUAAAAUAAAACCAAGAAAAAAUAUGUAAAGUAUCAUUUCCUGAAAAUCCAUGAGGCAGUCAUAAAUUAGAGAAGUAAUGAAGUAUCUGAUUUAAAAUCAGAAGAUGCCAAUUCAAAUUUAAUUCUUACUCAGUGUGGGGUUUUGAGAGAGUCAAUUAACCUUCUUGAGUAAUAGUUUUCUAAUCUAAAACAAACUUACCAUAUAGGCCUCAUUAAAAAGAAAAAACUAGUUUUUAAAAAAAGCCAAUCUAUUGAUUUAUUAUAGUUUUUUAUGAAACAAACAAACUCUGUUAAGCAUAAUAUCUCAGCCAUGUAAAUAUACUUUUUUUUUUUUUAGUCAUCCUACAAGUCCUAAUUAAUUCCUCAGUCAAUGGAUCUAAGAAAAAUUUCCAUCUGAACUGUGAGGUGAAGAAUGAGGUAUGAGAAAUAUGUUUUAUAGGGAUGGAAAAUAGAAGUGUUUUAGAGAAAUGAAAGAAGGUCUGACCUGCAGAAUCAUCCCACCAAUGCAUUAUCAAAAUGGACUGAU